rnacentral:rRNA from 1 species
AGAGCGCGGCGAAAUGCGAUAAGUAGUGUGAAUUGCAGAAUUCAGUGAAUCAUCGAAUCUUUGAACGCACAUUGCGCCCCUUGGUAUUCCAUGGGGCAUGCCUGUUCGAGCGUCAUUUGUACCUUCAAGCUCUGCUUGGUGUUGGGUGUUUGUCUCGCCUCUGCGUGUAGACUCGCCUUAAAACAAUUGGCAGCCGGCGUAUUGAUUUCGGAGCGCAGUACAUCUCGCGCUUUGCACUCAUAACGACGACGUCCAAAAGUACAUUUUUACACUCUUGACCUCGGAUCAGGUAGGGAUACCCGCUGAACUUAAGCAUAUCAAUAAGCGGAGGAAAAGAAACCAACAGGGAUUGCCCUAGUAACGGCGAGUGAAGCGGCAACAGCUCAAAUUUGAAAUCUGGCGUCUUUGGCGUCCGAGUUGUAAUUUGCAGAGGGCGCUUUGGCAUUGGCAGCGGUCCAAGUUCCUUGGAACAGGACGUCACAGAGGGUGAGAAUCCCGUACGUGGUCGCUAGCCUUUACCGUGUAAAGCCCCUUCGACGAGUCGAGUUGUUUGGGAAUGCAGCUCUAAAUGGGAGGUAAAUUUCUUCUAAAGCUAAAUACUGGCCAGAGACCGAUAGCGCACAAGUAGAGUGAUCGAAAGAUGAAAAGCACUUUGGAAAGAGAGUUAAAAAGCACGUGAAAUUGUUGAAAGGGAAGCGCUUGCAGCCAGACUUGCCUGUAGUUGCUCAUCCGGGUUUUUACCCGGUGCACUCUUCUACGGGCAGGCCAGCAUCAGUUUGGGCGGUUGGAUAAAGGUCUCUGUCAUGUACCUCCUCUCGGGGAGAUCUUAUAGGGGAGACGACAUGCAACCAGCCUGGACUGAGGUCCGCGCAUCUGCUAGGAUGCUGGCGUAAUGGCUGUAAGCGGCCCGU